GCGUCUGGCUGUAGAAGGUAGUAUGGAAAUUCGCCAAUAGUCAAGCAGUCUAUCAGUUUUUGACUGUUGGAAUAUAAACGACUACAAGAAUACACCGUAAAUCUAUACAAAUGCCCUUCGACUGCUUGUCAAAGUCCUUUUUGCCCCAGCCGGUAGGUCUCUAGACGUUACAGAGAACCCCGAACAACCCAAUCUGCUAAUCUCCGAUACGGCUUUGUACUUUUGAUUUUGUAUCCACUGACUGUCUUGUUAGAUUAACCCAAUAAAUUUCAUUCACUUUGCAUAUUCAAUCCUAUAGACACUUUUUUAAUCCUUCAAUCACAGACGUAACUCGAUUUCACAAAACAGUCAAGAGUAAUCAAACCCACUUCAUUAAAAAAUCCCGAUUCACCAUUACAACACUGACUUCAGCAACGAUUGUCUCAGUCUUCCCAAAACUCUAUCAAGAAGAAAAAUCCAAUUCUCUGUCUUUUCUUCCCCGACCCGAAGCAUGAAGCUCCUCUCCAAUCCCCUUGAUCUUCAAAAACCUCCAAUGAAAAA
rnacentral:lncRNA from 1 species